rnacentral:rRNA from 1 species
UACAGAGGGUGCAAGCGUUAAUCGGAAUUACUGGGCGUAAAGCGUGCGUAGACGGUUAUGUAAGUCGGGUGUGAAAGCCCCGGGCUCAACCUGGGAAUGCCAUCCGAGACUGCAUAGCUAGGGUGCGGAAGAGGGAAGCGGAAUUUCCGGUGUAGCGGUGAAAUGCGUAGAUAUCGGAAGGAACACCAGUGGCGAAAGCGGCUUCCUGGUCCAGCACCGACGUUCAGGCACGAAAGCGUGGGGAGCAAACAGG